ACCGCUAAGGAUUACCUUAGUACGGCGAGUGAAGCGGUAAAAGCUCAAAUUUGAAAUCUGGUACUUUCAGUGCCCGAGUUGUAAUUUGUAGAAUUUGUCUUUGAUUAGGUCCUUGUCUAUGUUCCUUGGAACAGGACGUCAUAGAGGGUGAGAAUCCCGUUUGGCGAGGAUACCUUUUCUCUGUAAGACUUUUUCGAAGAGUCGAGUUGUUUGGGAAUGCAGCUCAAAGUGGGUGGUAAAUUCCAUCUAAAGCUAAAUAUUGGCGAGAGACCGAUAGCGAACAAGUACAGUGAUGGAAAGAUGAAAAGAACUUUGAAAAGAGAGUGAAAAAGUACGUGAAAUUGUUGAAAGGGAAGGGCAUUUGAUCAGACAUGGUGUUUUUUGCAUGCACUCGCCUCUCGUGGGCUUGGGCCUCUCAAAAAUUUCACUGGGCCAACAUCAAUUCUGGCAGCAGGAUAAAUCAUUAAGAAUGUAGCUACUUCGGUAGUGUUAUAGCUUUUUGGAAUACUGUUAGCCGGGAUUGAGGACUGCGCUUCGGCAAGGAUGUUGGCAUAAUGGUUAAAUGCACACCGUCUAAAAAACACGGACCAAACA
rnacentral:rRNA from 1 species